GAAGGACUUUGCCCUUUUUUCAUGGACUCAGAGGCCUUUUCUCAUUUUCAGGGGUGUCUCAUUUCACGAGGAGAACCCAUCAUAGCCCCCUGCAUUCCGAAGAACCUACCAUGUUCUUCUAUAAGGGGGAAUGGUGCGAGCCCUCCAAGCCCCCACCAAGGAGUCACCCCAGAGGCCAGAAGCUCUCCUGUGAUCCCCCUCAGAAGGCGGAGGACUGCACCAGGAGUCUUGGGACCCCUCUCCUCCAUGCAGCCAAGAGUAUUCUCAGAUGUCUGUACUGAUGUGCACACACGAGGACAUGCAUGUGUGAAGGCCAGAUGAUCUCAG